AACUGACACAACUGAACAGAGAAUCAUGGUUAAGAUAUUAACUUCAGGUUCUGGUAAGAACUGCUGCCCUCAUUGGAAAGUUGCCACCAUGAGACAGAAUUGUGACUAGCAGGUCCCCUGUGCCAGUACCAACAACUUCUUCUAUUCCCAACAAACUCAGUGCACAAAUAAUGGCAAAUAUCAGCUUCUACAUGGACAAGAGUGAAUUUGUUUGCCUCAGUUGGCUUUGGGUCACUUACAAUUUCUUUUUACAGAAGAGGUUCAUUUUAUUCUUCAGAAACAAGAAGAGGAAUAGUCUAUUCCAACAUCAGCAAAAAAAUCAAAUAAUUUACUUUUUAUUAUAUUUGUUAUCCAUUUCCUCUCACUAGUGUGUGUGAAUAUAAGAGUUUUCUCAGUUUUAUUCACUGUUGUAUCCUCAGUACCUAGCCCAGUGCCUGGCAUGCAGCAUAUGUUCAAUAAAA